GAUGAACGCUGGCGGCGUGCCUAAUACAUGCAAGUCGAGCGAACAGACGCGGAGCUUUCUCCUCUGACGUUAGCGGCGGACGGGUGAGUAACACGUGGAUAACCUACCUAUAAGACUGGGAUAACUUCGGGAAACCGGAGCUAAUACCGGAUAAUAUAUUGAACCGCAUGGUUCAAUAGUGAAAGACGGUUUUGCUGUCACUUAUAGAUGGAUCCGCGCCGGAUUAGCUAGUUGGUAAGGUAACGGCUUACCAAGGCAACGAUGCGUAGCCGACCUGAGAGGGUGAUCGGCCACACUGGAACUGAGACGCGGUCCAGACGCCUACGGGAGGCAGCAGUAGGGAAUCUUACGCAAUGGGCGAAAGCCUGACGGAGCAACGCCGCGUGAGUGAUGAUGGUCUUCGGAGCGUAAAGCUCUGUUAUUAGGGAAGAACAAAUGUGUAAGUAACUAUGCACGUCUUGACGGUACCUAAUCAGAAAGCCACGGCUAACUACGUG
rnacentral:rRNA from 1 species